GACGAAGACACUUUUCAUCUUCCACUUCUUCAAGACCAAAGAAAAUUCUCUCAGGCUUGGGUCCAACACAGUCACAUCCAAACCAAGCCCAUCAGCACUGCAUUCUUUUUCUGCUUUAGUGAGGAACUCACACUUGAUGCUGUUUUCUGGUAGUGAGAGACGAUUGUGGUUCGUGUUCACGUCAGUGCCGUAGAGUUUCUUGCUCAUGAGAAAUUGAGUAUUGGUUUGGGUGGUGCUUCAUCCUCUUCAUCAUCAUCAAGAAACAUUUCUUGAUUUGGAAUUCUGGGCCUUUUUCUAAUCACCCUCUGAGUUCUUUGAAGUUCCUUCUCCCAAUCCAACAUGUGAUUUCAAUUUCUUGAUCUGAGUCAAUUCCUCUUCACUGUAAAACUGUGCUGCAUGCUCUGAAUCCUCUGAUAAUACCAUAUCAAGAAAGCCAGGCUUGAAGGGUUUGGAGGAGAACUUCUGACGUGUCUCCCAGUCUGUGAUGCUGUUCACCAGUUUCCAUAGUUCUUUCUUGUCCCUCAUGAUGAUCGACCAAGCAGGGGAAGAUAGAGAGGUAGCAAAGCAAAUUCAAUGGAUGAGAGAGCUGAAUGAUAUUGAAAGAAAAUUAGGAUUUUGUGUAUGUAUGUGAAAGUGAACUAGUUGCCGUUGGCUCGUAAUAUAUAGCAUAGGCAGUAACUAAUGUGAAGGUAGGUUACUUGAAGCCAAAUUAACAAAGAUAGAGUUAAAUUGGUGGUAAA